AGUGAACGCUGGCGGUAGGCCUAACACAUGCAAGUCGAACGGCAGCACAGGAGAGCUUGCUCUCUAGGUGGCGAGUGGCGGACGGGUGAGGAAUACAUCGGAAUCUGCCCAGUCGUGGGGGAUAACGUAGGGAAACUUACGCUAAUACCGCAUACGACCUUCGGGUGAAAGAGGGGGAUCGCAAGACCUCUCGCGAUUGGAUGAGCCGAUGUCGGAUUAGCUAGUUAGCGGGGUAAUGGCCCACCAAGGCGACGAUCCGUAGCUGGUCUGAGAGGAUGAUCAGCCACACUGGAACUGAGACACGGUCCAGACUCCUACGGGAGGCAGCAGUGGGGAAUAUUGGACAAUGGGCGCAAGCCUGAUCCAGCCAUACCGCGUGGUGAAGAAGGCCUUCGGGUUGUAAAGCCCUUUUGUUGGGAAAGAAAUCUUUCAGGCUAAUACCCUGGGAGGAUGACGGUACCCAAAGAAUAAGCACCGGCUAACUUCGUG
rnacentral:rRNA from 1 species